UGCAUUUUUAAUUCCUUAUAGCUAUUCUGGGCUAUUUGAACAGGAAGAAUUUACAGCCCAACACCAUAUUGUCACCAUUGUGUAACAAAGUUUAAACACUUUACUGAGGUCAAGAAAAGCCAGAAUGUAAUGCCUCCACACGAGGACAUCAUUUUAUAUUUAUGUGUUUUGUUUUUUACAUGAAGUAUUUUGGGGACCACUUGGCUAUAGUCUGUGGAUUCCUGGAACUUCCUUUAUGACACUCAGUUGCUGUAAGUUGGCUAUUUAAGGUUCUACAUGUAAUUAUUAAGCAGUGCAAACAAAAUUCGACUUGCCUUUAUUGAUCUCGGCUGGAGGCAGAUACUGUAAAAUCCAGAUAAAACAACUGUAUACAGGAUUGGAAAAUGCAUUUUGAUGCCCAAGCCACUUUCAUAGCUUAGAAACUGUUAAACGUUUUAUUGCACGUAUGCUCGUGUUUCUUUAAAAACCUUGUGACUUCAGCGGCACUUUGCCCUGCCAUUACAAUCUUUCUCACAAAGGUUUUUAAAACCAAGCUAUCCUUGCCAGGCUCACUCCUCAAAUCAAUUCUGCUUUUUUGGCUUUUCAUGAAGAGAUACAAAAAAAAAAAAAAAUCUCUUCAAUAUUUGCCACACAUGUCCUUCAUCGCUGAAUUGUGGUAUUCAGGAGGUUCUGAAUAGGCACUGUACUCCAUUGUCUAAGAAUGCCAGCGAAAGCCAACAGCCGCACAACGCACCAAUUACAGCGUCAACUCUCACGAGCAGCGCCGCAUGCGUGUCGAGACUGGAAAACAUACGAUGGGCUUGCAAUUGUAAUCAGAACUGUUUAAAUAGUAACAAGUGUGCAAAUUAGUCGUUCUGUUGCUCAUUAUUCAAGACGUGCAAUCACUAGUUCCCAACAUCCCAAAGUCUGGGAGAGAUUUGAAACAACCAAAACACACAAACAUGCAAACAAAUGAAAUAACAGGAGCUCAAACCCUCGAUUCAGUCGAUAUAAUUUAAUCAGCAAAAUGUGUGAUUAAAAUAUUUAAUGAGCUCCAGCAUAUGACAUUUAUUGACUUACCAAAUGUCUCUUUCUUUAUACAUUCAGACAUGGCUGAACACCUACACAAAAUGAUUUCAAGCUGACAUAUAUAAUUUGACCUUGUCAGAAGCUGAUCUCCUUCCCCCCACAUUUCCUCGUGCGUGCUGUGUAAUUGAGCCUUCAGGGAGAGUGG
ensembl:lncRNA